rnacentral:rRNA from 1 species
UACGUAGGGGGCAAGCGUUGUCCGGAUUCAUUGGGCGUAAAGAGCGUGUAGGCGGCCAGGUAGGUCCGUUGUGAAAACUCGAGGCUCAACCUCGAGACGUCGAUGGAAACCAUCUGGCUAGAGUCCGGAAGAGGAGAGUGGAAUUCCUGGUGUAGCGGUGAAAUGCGCAGAUAUCAGGAAGAACACCUAUGGCGAAGGCAGCCCUCUGGGACGGUACUGACGCUGAGACGCGAAAGCGUGGGGAGCGAACAGG